CGUAGCUUAGCGGAAAAGCGUCUGGCUCUCAGGCUGGAGGACCCGGGUUCGAUUCCCGGC
rnacentral:tRNA from 1 species